AUAACCCCCAAAUCCAUUACUUCUUUGCCCUCAGGAAACCUAGACGUCCCUCACAAUCAAUCGGAAGAGUGAAUGUCAAGCACACAAAACGUCCAAUUUCAUUCAAUCACGACUGAAGAGCCUGCAUAACCCCCAUUAAAUCAUCCUCUCAAAUCCCCCUUGCAGGUCCAGGUUUCCGCGGCAGUGACUACGCGCAGCUUCCCCACCUCACUAAGCCCCUUUAUUGAAGUUAAAAAAUUUCAAAGAUCCCAAUAAAAUAAAAUCAACAACCCCUUCAAAGAUCCCAAUCAGAUUAUUGGUAAAGUUCCAUUCUUUUUUAGUUUUUCAAGUGAAAAAACAUAUUUUUAAGUGAUGUUAUGUGAAUUAUUUUUGUUAGUUGUAUGUUGUUUGAGUAAUUUUAGUGAUUUUUUGCAAGUUCUUCAUAUUCUGGCAUGUGGGUAUGUCAAGAUUUUCUUUCAUAAGUGGUUAUUGUGUCAAAGUUUGUAACUUUAUCUGAAUUUUGAAUAUUAUUUGUUGAAUUUCUUAAAGUUUAUCAUCAAUUGGCAUCUGGGUGUGUCAAAAAUUUCUUGCAUCAGUGGUUGUUGUAUCAAAGAUUCUACCUCCUCACCAACACAAACAACGAUAAUUCCUUUAAGCUUUCAUCAAUGGCGUUUCAAGAUCUGCUGAAGUCAUACAAACAAGAAAGAGGUUGAGCUAGAUAGAUACUGAUUCCUAAUGGCAGCAGUUUUACGCAACGGUAACAAACCCUACAUCUGAUGUGAAUGAAUUUCAUUAUUAGAUGAAAUAAGUGUUUGGAUUUCUUAUAAUUGUAAACUAUUAUUGAGUCGGUGUGUGCUGUUUGUUUCACUUUGUUCAAUUUGAAGUUGAAUUUCAACAUUUGGGAGUGGUGGAAGUAUUCAAUUUAUUUUUUUUAUUUAUAUUUUUAAUAUUUGAUGCAUUGGUUUUAACGGUUCGGUUUUAGCUAUUUAAUGGUUGCAAACCUAAGUGCGGGACCGUCGGCUUGAUGACCAUAAAGAUGAUGUGGCAUAUGCUCGGAAACUCGAACGAAGAGAGGAAGAUCGUCAUAGGGAGAUACUACGUGAACGAGAAAGAGAACGAGAACGUGAAAGAGAACGGGACCGCUCGCGUGAACGACAACAGGAACGAGAACGGGAACAGGAGCGGGAACGAGAGCGUAGGAAGGAACAUGAAAAACGGGAAAGGGAAAGAGAACGGCUGGGGGUACCCUACAUUAAUCAACAAAAUAUUAAAAAAAAUAGAAAAUAGGCAUCUGUCAAAAUAGAAAAUAGGUCGUUGUAGUUCAAGAAUCAAUUGUCCCUUUAUAGUUUGUAUUGACAAGCAUUUAUUCGUUUUCAGGUCGUGUACAUGCCUGGACCAAGUUUUUGGAUGUUCGGAAUUCAUUUGCUCAAUUUUAAUUCAAAACAUUGAUAACCAAGGUGUUCCAGGGAGUCCGGCCGGUGGGAGUCAAGAAAGCGGUCGUGAACACUCGAAUUCCAACAUCGGGGAGCAGGAUAGGAGCUAACAUAAGCCAUCAGUUUGUGAGUUCAUCAGUUUCGUCACAAGCGAGUACAUAUGUCUGUUUCAUCAUCAGCAAGUAUGUGCAUAUAGAUAGAUAUAAUAACAUAAAAAGGCGGAACAGCCAAACUACCUCUGGCUGAACAGGUUACACAUGAGCAUUUUAACAAAGGGCUAAUAUACCCAUCGUUCACCAACACUUGCAAGAUUUCUACGCAUAUUGCAGCCAAGGUGGCGGCUAAAGAAUAUGAACUUGGUGAGCCCUCUAUUCAUACAAUCCGGGCGAACAAAACUAACAAACCGAACCAGAAUGGCUACCUUUGGUUUUUGGUGCUUGAGAUUUUAAAAAACCCGCUCAUGGUUAUCAAGUUUUUCAAAUUUUUAUGACAUUAAAAUUAAUUUACACACAAGAAGAUCAGGUGAUAGAUUAACCGAGGGUUGAAUGGCACCAUCAUCCAUGGAAAUCGGAGACAUGACGCUUCAAGUAAAUCGAUCAAGCUUGCAACCUGGUUAUUGCUCGUCAUCUCGAAUCCGUGUAAAAAUUAUGUUUCAACACGCUGGCAAGUCUUGUAUUUAAUGGAAAUGAGUCAUCGUUCAACUCUGGUCAUUUCCCCUUUAAGCACAAGGAAAAUUUAUUUACAAGAAGCUCGAGUUGUGAUAAUCUAUUAUGUUAUGAUUUUAUCCUAAGUUGUUGUGAUAAUCUGUCCCUAGUUUGAUAAUAUGUUAUUGUGAUAAUUUGUUCUGUUCUGAUUUUGGCCAAAGUUGUUGUGCCAAUAUUUUCGUUAAUUUGAUAAUCCAUUCUUGUUAUACUUUGUUUUCUUUUGAUUUUGGCAUUCUUUAUGAUAAUUUGUUGUUUUUUUAAUUAACUACAGUUUUUGAUAACGAGUCAAAAUGAGUUCAGUUUUGGUAUAUAUUUUAACCAUGGGGUUUAGUGGUUAGACAUCUUUUAGUCUUUCUAUUUAGGGUACUAAAUAAACAUUAAGUGAAGAUUAGGAGGUUACAAUGAGUUAUUUUCAUUAUACUGGCAUAUGAGUAUUGCUAGAAAUGGCAAGAUGGGUGGGGCAGUGACAGAAUUCGAAGAAGUUGAUAUGGGCAAGUUAGUUUGGUUGGUGCGAUUUGGGGUACCCCGAGUUCUGGUGCUGGUGGUUCCAGCUUCAAUGGUGGUGGUCAUAGAGUGAAUGAAACCGUGUAUGGUAGGAACAAAGUUAACAAUUUACUCCAAAUUAACAAUUUGUAUAUUCUGUAGCUUUUUUGUUUCUUUGUAUACAUGUUGCUUUGCAAAGAGAGCCUUCACCUAUCUUAGUUUUCUGUCUCCGAGAUAUGACAUUAUGUUCAAUGGUAGAAGUCAAAAUGGUGUGGCAUGUCGAAGGCUUUUAUUAAGUUGUAGUAGUCUCUUCGUUUAUUCUAACUUGGAACAAACCUUGUUCUUGUAAAAUUCCUAAAAUAGAUAACACUGAUAAUUUAUUCUA